AAAGGCUCAUCGAAUAACCUUUGUUACUAUCUGGUGAAUUUGUUAUAAUUUUCUUGAGCCAAUGGUCUUUGGGGAACAAUCUCUUUAUCUCUGCAAGAUAAGGGUAAGGUUUGAGUACACUUCACACUCCCCAAGUUCCACAAUGUAGGAUUACACUGGGUAUGUUGUUGUUUUCCAAAGGUUUUAGGCCGUGCUCUAUGGCUAACUUUAGUCCAUGCUAAAGUGCCAGUAAUUCAGCUUGUGUAUGAUUUGGUGCGGGCAGACUACUGUGAUAGCUCUAGGCUCCUCUGUUAUUCCUGAUUACUCCGCCAUUGCCUCCUUUGAUUACUCAGAACAUUAAGAUGGAUUGUCUCUCCUUAUUUUAUUUUUGGUGUAAACAAAAUAUUUUGAUGUAGGAGACCUGAUCGAUAUAAUAGGUAGCUUGUAAAUAACUGUUCCAUCAGGUGUUCUUCUUUUGCUCUUAAUGAGUUGUAC
rnacentral:lncRNA from 1 species